CCACAGAAAUAUCUGAUUUCAAAGAGAUGCUCGCAUUCUAUACUGAUCCCAUCUAGGAGUGUAAAUGCCCAAUGUCACGCUGCCGAGUGGAAAAAGGUAAAGCAAGAAGGCAUCCAUCUACAAUCCAGGAAGAGGACUAUCACCAGAACUCCAUGCUGCUGACACCUUGAUCUUGGACUUCCAGCCUCCAGAACUGGCUGAAAGGCCACACACGGUCUCUGAAGUAAGUAACACAGGGUGGAUAACAUUGAAAUACUGGAGGACAACAUCAC